rnacentral:rRNA from 1 species
UGGGGAAUAUUGCACAAUGGGCGCAAGCCUGAUGCAGCCAUGCCGCGUGUAUGAAGAAGGCCUUCGGGUUGUAAAGUACUUUCAGUCGGGAGGAAGGUGGUAAGGUUAAUAACCUUAUCAAUUGACGUUACCGACAGAAGAAGCACCGGCUAACUCCGUGCCAGCAGCCGCGGUAAUACGGAGGGUGCAAGCGUUAAUCGGAAUUACUGGGCGUAAGGCGCACGCAGGCGGUUGAUUGAGUCAGAUGUGAAAUCCCCGGGCUUAACCCGGGAAUUGCAUCUGAUACUGGUCAGCUAGAGUCUUGUAGAGGGGGGUAGAAUUCCAUGUGUAGCGGUGAAAUGCGUAGAGAUGUGGAGGAAUACCGGUGGCGAAGGCGGCCCCCUGGACAAAGACUGACGCUCAGGUGCGAAAGCGUGGGGAGCAAACAGG